UACAGAGGUCUCAAGCGUUGUUCGGAUUCAUUGGGCGUAAAGGGUGUGUAGGUGGCGCCGUAAGUCGGGUGUGAAAUUUCGGAGCUUAACUCCGAAACUGCAUUCGAUACUGCGGUGCUUGAGGACUGGAGAGGAGACUGGAAUUCAUGGUGUAGCAGUGAAAUGCGUAGAGAUCAUGAGGAAGACCAGUGGCGAAGGCGGGUCUCCGGGCAUUAACUGACGCUGAGGAGCGAAAGCAUGGGGAGCGAACAGG
rnacentral:rRNA from 1 species